GACGAACGCUGGCGGCGUGCCUAAUACAUGCAAGUCGAGCGCUGAAGGAUGGUGCUUGUACCCACUGGAUGAGCGGCGAACGGGUGAGUAACGCGUGGGUAAUCUGCUUUUUAUUGGGGGACAACAUCGGGAAACGACUGCUAAUACCGCAUCAUAACAUUAAACACAAGAUUUAAGUUUGAAAGAUGCAUUUGCAUCACUCAAGAAUGAUUCCGCGUUGUAUUAGCUAGGUGGGUAGGUAAAGGCCCACCAAGGCGAAGGUACCUAGCCGACCUGAGAGGGUGAUCGGCCACAAUGGGACUGGGACACCGCCCCAGCUCCUAAGGGAGGGAGCAGGAGGGAAACUUUGGAAAAGGAGGGAAGUCUGACCGAGCAAAGACGGGUGGGGGAAGGAGGGUCUCGGGUCGGAAAACUCCGUUGGUAGAGAAGAAAGAUGAUCAGGGUAAAACGCUGAUGUAGUGACGGUAACUACACAAAAAGGAACGGCUAACUACGUG
rnacentral:rRNA from 1 species